UUGACCUCGGAUCAGGUAGGAUUACCCGCUGAACUUAAGCAUAUCAAUAAGCGGAGGAAAAGAAACCAACAGGGAUUGCCCCAGUAACGGCGAGUGAAGCGGCAACAGCUCAAAUUUGAAAUCUGGCCCUCGGGUCCGA
rnacentral:rRNA from 1 species